rnacentral:lncRNA from 1 species
ACGUACGCCACGGGGUGUGUAGCAUACUGGUGAGGGUAAGCUACGCUAACAUCGCAAAACGGCGCACCUUGCAAGUCGUUUGGUGAGUAGAGGGGAGGUGGAGGUGGAGGUGGAGGUGGAGGUGGAGGUGGAGGUGGAGGUGGAGGAGGGCCGGUGUACGGAUAGAAAAGUUGAGGUGGUCUAAGUAAGGGAAAUUGGGAGGGAUUAGUAGGGUUUCUGGGCCU